GUUCGCGUAGCUCAAUGGUCAGAGCACUGAUCUUAUGAGUCAGGGGUUGCCGGUUCGAGUCCGGUCGUGAACA
rnacentral:tRNA from 10 species